rnacentral:misc_RNA from 1 species
AAGUCGUAACAAGGUUUCCGUAGGUGAACCUGCGGAAGGAUCAUUAAAUUCAGUAGCUUGCUACUGGUCGGGAGGCGCUGUAAGCCCGCAUAGUUUAAUUACUGAUGAGCGGCAGGUCCUCUGUCUGGACCCUUGUCUUUUUGCGUACUCAUGUUUCCUCGGCGGGCUUGCCCGCCGGUUGGACAAAACUAUAACCUUUUUAAUUUUCAAUCAGCGUCUGAAAAACUUAAUAAUUACAA